GGGUUGUGAGGUUAAGCGACUAAGCGUACACGGUGGAUGCCCUGGCAGUCAGAGGCGAUGAAGGACGUGCUAAUCUGCGAUAAGCGUCGGUAAGGUGAUAUGAACCGUUAUAACCGGCGAUUUCCGAAUGGGGAAACCCAGUGUGAUUCGUCACACUAUCAUUAACUGAAUCCAUAGGUUAAUGAGGCGAACCGGGGGAACUGAAACAUCUAAGUACCCCGAGGAAAAGAAAUCAACCGAGAUUCCCCCAGUAGCGGCGAGCGAACGGGGAGCAGCCCAGAGCCUGAAUCAUGUGUGUGUUAGUGGAAGCGUCUGGAAAGGCGCGCGAUACAGGGUGACAGCCCCGUACACAAAAAUGCACAUACUGUGAGCUCGAUGAGUAGGGCGGGACACGUGGUAUCCUGUCUGAAUAUGGGGGGACCAUCCUCCAAGGCUAAAUACUCCUGACUGACCGAUAGUGAACCAGUACCGUGAGGGAAAGGCGAAAAGAACCCCGGCGAGGGGAGUGAAAAAGAACCUGAAACCGUGUACGUACAAGCAGUGGGAGCACGCUUAGGCGUGUGACUGCGUACCUUUUGUAUAAUGGGUCAGCGACUUAUAUUCUGUAGCAAGGUUAACCGAAUAGGGGAGCCGAAGGGAAACCGAGUCUUAACUGGGCGUUAAGUUGCAGGGUAUAGACCCGAAACCCGGUGAUCUAGCCAUGGGCAGGUUGAAGGUUGGGUAACACUAACUGGAGGACCGAACCGACUAAUGUUGAAAAAUUAGCGGAUGACUUGUGGCUGGGGGUGAAAGGCCAAUCAAACCGGGAGAUAGCUGGUUCUCCCCGAAAGCUAUUUAGGUAGCGCCUCGUGAAUUCAUCUCCGGGGGUAGAGCACUGUUUCGGCAAGGGGGUCAUCCCGACUUACCAACCCGAUGCAAACUGCGAAUACCGGAGAAUGUUAUCACGGGAGACACACGGCGGGUGCUAACGUCCGUCGUGAAGAGGGAAACAACCCAGACCGCCAGCUAAGGUCCCAAAGUCAUGGUUAAGUGGGAAACGAUGUGGGAAGGCCCAGACAGCCAGGAUGUUGGCUUAGAAGCAGCCAUCAUUUAAAGAAAGCGUAAUAGCUCACUGGUCGAGUCGGCCUGCGCGGAAGAUGUAACGGGGCUAAACCAUGCACCGAAGCUGCGGCAGCGACGCUGAUGCGUUGUUGGGUAGGGGAGCGUUCUGUAAGCCUGUGAAGGUGUGCUGUGAGGCAUGCUGGAGGUAUCAGAAGUGCGAAUGCUGACAUAAGUAACGAUAAAGCGGGUGAAAAGCCCGCUCGCCGGAAGACCAAGGGUUCCUGUCCAACGUUAAUCGGGGCAGGGUGAGUCGACCCCUAAGGCGAGGCCGAAAGGCGUAGUCGAUGGGAAACAGGUUAAUAUUCCUGUACUUGGUGUUACUGCGAAGGGGGGACGGAGAAGGCUAUGUUGGCCGGGCGACGGUUGUCCCGGUUUAAGCGUGUAGGCUGGUUUUCCAGGCAAAUCCGGAAAAUCAAGGCUGAGGCGUGAUGACGAGGCACUACGGUGCUGAAGCAACAAAUGCCCUGCUUCCAGGAAAAGCCUCUAAGCAUCAGGUAACAUCAAAUCGUACCCCAAACCGACACAGGUGGUCAGGUAGAGAAUACCAAGGCGCUUGAGAGAACUCGGGUGAAGGAACUAGGCAAAAUGGUGCCGUAACUUCGGGAGAAGGCACGCUGAUAUGUAGGUGAAGUCCCUCGCGGAUGGAGCUGAAAUCAGUCGAAGAUACCAGCUGGCUGCAACUGUUUAUUAAAAACACAGCACUGUGCAAACACGAAAGUGGACGUAUACGGUGUGACGCCUGCCCGGUGC
rnacentral:rRNA from 1 species